AACGAACGCUGGCGGCGCGUCUUAAACAUGCAAGUCGAACGGCAGGAAGGGGCUUGCCCCUUCUGAGAGUGGCGGACUGGUGAGUAACACGUGGGUGACAUACCUUUUAGUUGGGGAUAGCUAUUAGAAAUAGUAGGUAAUACCGAAUGUGACCGUACCUGUUAGAGGGGUACGAGGAAAGGAGCUAAGGCUUCGCUAAAAGAAUGGCUCGCGGCCCAUUAUGCUCGUUGGUGAGGUAACGGCCCCCCAAGGCGAUGAUGGGUAUCCGGCCUGAGAGGGUGAACGGCCCCUUUGGGACUGGGAUCCGCCCCAGCCUUUUACGGGGGGCCGCAUUUAAGAAUUUUCCGCAUUGGCCGAAAUUCUGCCGUGGCGCCCCCGCUUGGAUGAAGAAUCCCCAAAGGUUUUAAAAUCCUUUUAACCCUGAUUAAUAAGCACAGUAGGGAAUGAUUUUGCGGUGCCCGUAGGGCUGGAAUAAGCCCCGGCUAAUUCCGU
rnacentral:rRNA from 1 species